CUUGGCCUUCCAAAGUGCGAGCCACCACACCUGGCCCUCUUGUGGUCUUAAAGGAAAGGGGAGGAGGGCAGGUGAAGAACAGAAAUGCCACAUGUCAUAUUUAGUAGGACACCAGCAAGUGGAGCCAUGCUGCAGCUUCAUUUUCCCCAAAGCUGAAACUUCAAAGGCAAAUGACAACAACCCAAUCCAGGCAAGACUGCUAAAGGCUUAGACCCUUCAAGAAUGAAGGUUUGGGUGAUCCCACCAGUCAGGAGGCCAUGACCCGCUGAGGUGCUUGCUGAGGACAAAGGAAAUGAGGAAUGGGUGGUGGCAGGCUCCCGUCAUCAGUGUGGAUGGCAGCCAUGCCUGCAGCUACUCUACCUUCCCCUGAUCCUCCUUCAGCUUCUCCAACUCCUGGGCCAGAUGGGGCAGCUCCAUGACAAUGGGCACUGGCUUCUUCAGGACAUCCAGACCCUCAAGGUCAGGGGCAGUGAGACUGACACAGGUUCCAGUUCAUGCUGCUCGGUUCCAGCUUGUGCUUGCAGGUUACAGGCUGUCCUGCUCUUCUCUAUUUAUAUCCAUUUCCCUCCUAACCACCUGCCCUGUGAACUUAACUCUCUAGCAUCAGACAUCCCAUCCAGGAGGAGAACAUACACACAGUUGUUUAACUAGCCUCACAAUUACUAAGAUCAAAUUUGCACAACAAAUACACACACACACAGAGAAAUAUGUAUCCUAAUGGGUCUGCCUCUCUGAUUAAACCCUUAAUUGAUACACUCA